UUCACCAUGUGGAAGUGGCAUUCAUUGUCCAUCAUCACACUUCAACACCAUGUACUGUUUGCCUCGUUGCAUGAGACUGUUGACUGAAAAGCUCUAAACUGAUUCAAAAAUUUCAGGUUAUUUGGGAAAAAAUGACCUGGAGAUUAAUUCUCAAUAUGUAGUUUCUACAUAUUCAAUAUCUUCUGUUAAACCAGAGUCAAGUCUGUACAAGAAAUUGUGCUAAAUUGAAAUGCUUUUCCCUUUUGAUAAUAGUUUCUUUUUUCUUUUGCAUUAUGACAGGUAAUGAACUCUGAAGUGAUACGCUUAGGGAGUAUGGACGUGAUGAUCAAAUCCUGCCAACUGCAUACUGACAUAUUGCCACGGUGAAGUGCAACUAGAUCACAGCAGCAACUGAUGCAUUGGUGGCCUCCUGCUCCACCAUCUUCCCAAAAAACCUCAAUAGUUAUGCCUCCAAUUGCCCUCGUUUUGUUGAUUGUGGAUUUAAUUUUGCCUUGAAUUUAGCACAAACUUUCCCCUGUAUGCCUGAAACUUGAACUGAAAUCAUCUUCUUCAUCAGUCUCGUUUUGCAUUGGUAGUGUUUACCAAAUAUUUGUGGAUCCUGAAAUAUUGGCAAUUUUUGGGGGCAAGCAAUUCACAUUUGUCCAAAAUUGUCUGAAGUAUUAAAAUUUUAAGAACUUGCUAAAAAGGCAAACAGAUGCAGAUCCAAAUGUACGUCCUUUAAAACUAAGCUGUUGAUCGGAAUCCAGUCCAAUCAGACAAGUCCAUUUGUUCCACAGAUGUGUAAGAUUUUUGCUUUGUUGUUUUUGGAAGGUUGCUGUUUUUAAGGAAGAUGGCAGAAGACCGUUUGCUUUGAGACUACCUCCCUUGUCGGCUAAAGUGCCCAGAGGCCAGAUACAAGGCACUGACUGAGUCUUUGAUCACCAUGGUCACACCAAGGCAACGGCUUCCAGAUUUGGAUUCAAAGUCAUUACAGGGGCACCAACCAAGGAUAGGUCGUAGAUGCUGUGGAAUGGGUGGAGCACACGUUAGUUGAUGAGCACAUCCACUGACAUCUCCAUGGCAACACACCUCAAGUAAUGACACCUACUUUGAAGUUCCACCAGGCAGCUUGAUUGCAGUUAUUCAAAAGACUGUCAGAAAAUGUUGCAUAAAAACCCAUUUAAAGAUUUGAUGAUGGUUAGUUAGCAAUAUUGGUUCUUGAAAACUCUGCCCUAAACCUGAAUGGUCUCCAAUAGAUCGAUAUAGCCACAUACUACAACUUUCUUCUGACUGUUUAAAAUACCAGGUUCAAUGCAAUAUUAUGAUCUAUUUUAUUCCCCAAAUUGAAUUUGUAACCAUGUUAUUUUGUAAACGCAUUGGCUUUGACCUCAAAACU